rnacentral:rRNA from 1 species
UGGGGAAUAUUGGACAAUGGGCGAAAGCCUGAUCCAGCCAUGCCGCGUGAGUGAUGAAGGCCCUAGGGUUGUAAAGCUCUUUUGUGCGGGAAGAUAAUGACGGUACCGCAAGAAUAAGCCCCGGCUAACUUCGUGCCAGCAGCCGCGGUAAUACGAAGGGGGCUAGCGUUGCUCGGAAUCACUGGGCGUAAAGGGUGCGUAGGCGGAUCUUUAAGUCAGAGGUGAAAGCCUGGAGCUCAACUCCAGAACUGCCUUUGAUACUGAGGAUCUCGAGUUCGGGAGAGGUGCGUGGAACUGCGAGUGUAGAGGUGAAAUUCGUAGAUAUUCGCAAGAACACCAGUGGCGAAGGCGGCUCACUGGCCCGAUACUGACGCUGAGGCACGAAAGCGUGGGGAGCAAACA